AGAGUGAACGCUGGCGGUAGGCCUAACACAUGCAAGUCGAACGGCAGCACAGUAGGAGCUUGCUCUUACGGGUGGCGAGUGGCGGACGGGUGAGGAAUACGUCGGAAUCUACCUUUUGGUGGGGGAUAACGUAGGGAAACUUACGCUAAUACCGCAUACGCCCUUCGGGGGAAAGCCGGGACCAGCAAUGGCCUGGCGCUGAUAGAUGAGCCGAUGUCGGAUUAGCUAGUUGGUGAGGUAAUGGCUCACCAAGGCGACGAUCCGUUGCUGGUCUGAGAGGAUGAUCAGCCACACUGGAACUGAGACACGGUCCAGACUCCUACGGGAGGUAGACGAGUAGGGGUAAGUA
rnacentral:rRNA from 1 species